AGUGAACGCUGGCGGUAGGCCUAACACAUGCAAGUCGAACGGCAGCACAGGAGAGCUUGCUCUCUGGGUGGCGAGUGGCGGACGGGUGAGGAAUACAUCGGAAUCUACUCUGUCGUGGGGGAUAACGUAGGGAAACUUACGCUAAUACCGCAUACGACCUACGGGUGAAAGCAGGGGACCUUCGGGCCUUGCGCGAUUGAAUGAGCCGAUGUCGGAUUAGCUAGUUGGCGGGGUAAAGGCCCACCAAGGCGACGAUCCGUAGCUGGUCUGAGAGGAGGCUCAGCCACACUGGAACUGAGACACGGUCCAGACUCCUACGGGAGGCAGCAGUGGGGAAUAUUGGACAAUGGGCGCAAGCCUGAUCCAGCCAUACCGCGUGGGUGAAGAAGGCAUUCGGGUUGUAAAGCCCUUUUGUUGGGAAAGAAAUCCAGCUGGCUAAUACCCGGUUGGGAUGACGGUACCCAAAGAAUAAGCACCGGCUAACUUCGUGCCAGCCGCCGCCGUAA
rnacentral:rRNA from 1 species